AACGAACGCUGGCGGCAGGCUUAACACAUGCAAGUCGAACGCCCCGCAAGGGGAGUGGCAGACGGGUGAGUAACGCGUGGGAAUCUACCCAACUAUGCGGAAUAGCUCCGGGAAACUGGAAUUAAUACCGCAGUCGCCCUACGGGGGAAAGAUUUAUCGGGGAUGGAUGAGCCGGCGUUGGAUUAGCUAGUUGGUGGGGUAAAGGCCUACCAAGGCGACGACCCAUAGCUGGUCUGAGAGGAUGAUCAGCCACAAUGGGACUGAGACACGGCCCAAACGCCUACGGGAGGCAGCAGUGGGGAAUAUUGGACAAUGGGCGCAAGACUGAUCCAGCCAUGCCGCGUGAGUGAUGAAGGCCUUAGGGUUGUAAAGCUCUUCCACCGGUGAAGAUAAUGACGGUAACCGGAGAAGAAGCCCCGGCUAACUUCGUGCCAGCCGCCGCAGUAA
rnacentral:rRNA from 1 species